rnacentral:rRNA from 1 species
AUUGAACGCUAGCGGCAGGCCUAACACAUGCAAGUCGAGCGAGCGGCGGACGGGUGAGUAAUGUAUGGGGACCGCCCGCUAGAGGGGGAUAACCACUGGAAACGGUAGCUAAUACCGCAUACUAUCGGAUAACCCUUAUGGGAUUAGCUAGUAGGUGAGGUAAUGGCUCACCAAGCCGACGAUCCCUAGCGGGUCUGAGAGGAUGAUCAGCCACACUGGGACUGGGAAACGGCCCAGACUCCUACGGAGGCAGCAGUGGGGAAUAUUGCACAAUGGGCGAAAGCCUGAUGCAGCCAUCCCGCGUGUAGGAUGAAGGCCUUAGGGUUGUAAAGUACUUUUAGUAGGGAGGCGUUACCGGCAGAAGAAGCACCGGCUAACUCCGUGCCAGCAGCCGCGGUAAUAC